GAUGAACGCUGGCGGCGUGCCUAAUACAUGCAAGUCGAGCGAACAGACGAGGAGCUUGCUCCUCUGACGUUAGCGGCGGACGGGUGAGUAACACGUGGAUAACCUACCUAUAAGACUGGGAUAACUUCGGGAAACCGGAGCUAAUACCGGAUAAUAUAUUGAACCGCAUGGUUCAAUAGUGAAAGACGGUUUUGCUGUCACUUAUAGAUGGAUCCGCGCCGCAUUAGCUAGUUGGUAAGGUAACGGCUUACCAAGGCAACGAUGCGUAGCCGACCUGAGAGGGGGAUCGGCCAAACGGGAACGGAAACCAGGGCCAGACCCCUAGGGGGGGCAGGAGUAGGGAAUUUUCCGAAAGGGGGGAAAGCCGGACGGAGCAACGCCGCGGGGGGGAAGAAGGUCUUGGGAUCGUAAAACCUUUUUAUUAGGGAAAAAAAAAUGUGUAAGUAACUAUGCACGUCUUGACGGUACCUAAGAAGAAAACCACGGCGAACUACGG
rnacentral:rRNA from 1 species